UAUCUUCAUCUCCUAUCUCAUCCUCGCCUUGGACCAUUAUCGACUUGUAAAGCUCUCCAAACUCUUCGACGUCAACGCAACCAUCUCCGUUCACAUCGAUCUUCUCGAUCAUCUGCGACAGCUCGUUUUCAGGGAUUAUGAUGCCGAGGUUUUUGAAUGACUCGUUUAGCUCCUUCUGUGUGAUCCGACCGUCUCCGUCCUUGUCGAACAUUUGGAACACACGUUUUAGCUCCGUGGAGUCCAUUUUUUAGGGUUAGGUUUAGAUUAGAGGUUGCGUGUGGAUGAAGAAAUGGUGAAAACAGAGGAUGGUGAGACUCCGAGAAGCCGAGAAAGCAGUUCUUUCUUGGCUCCUUGGAGACCCGAUGAGGGUAGGUUCAGAAACUAAGGAAAUGUUAAAAGAAAUAUGAUUGAAAACCUUCGCAAAAAGUUGAGAUAAUAACUUGUAAAUACGGAUAAAAAUAGAAGAGGUCGUCAUAGGGUUUAGAAUAUUGUUGGUGGAGAGGAAGUCUUGGGUCUUUUAAAUACGGUUCUUUAAUAUUUAAACCCAAAAUAAACCCUAAACGUUAUUUUUAGUUAGAUACAAUACUAAUUUACAUUAUUACGGAUUAAGUAAAAAAGAAAAUCCUAAAAUAUCAAUUCAAACAAGAAGCUGUAUUUCACAUUAUGGUAAUUAUAAAGUGAUUAACUAAGUUAUUAGCAGGCGGUUAAAGACUAAUUCCGUUGGAGUAGAGUGGCGAACCACUUUGUUGUGCCGUCUCAACUACGUAAAGUCUUUGAAUUCACUUUUAUAAUAAAAACAAUAAAGAUGACAUGUCAACAACAAAGUAUAAUAAUCAUUUGUCAACUCUUUUUUUUAUAUAAUGGUAUUUGUUCACAUUCUCAUUUUGAUAAUCGCUUUGUGUUAUGGGGAAAAGAUAUACAAAGAGAAAGGUUGGUAAAAUUGUAUAACAUGACGCGUUUAAAAAUUAGAAAUGAGCCAAAAAGUGCCCACACGCAGGAUCGAACUACGGACCUUCAGUUUACAAGACUGACGCUCUACCACUGAGCUACAGUUUUGCUAAAUUAAUUGAUAAAAAAUUAGAACGAUGUCCAUGUACCAUGAAAAGAAGUUUAUCAUAAAUUAAUACAAAUGUAUAAUGUGGUUAUAAAUUUUAAAACGAAUUAAAAGAUUAUAGGCUUCCUAUAUAGAGAAUUUACCGAAAACUCACAAUUUUCGUAGGGGUGUAGGGAGUAUUUGCACUUUUGCUAAAUUAAUGGAUAAAAAAUUAGAACGAUGUCCAUGUACCAUGAAAUGGAGAUUAUCAUACAUUAAUACAAAUGUAUAAUGUGGUUUUAAAUUUUAAAACAAAUUUAAAGAUUAUAGGCCUCUAUAUAUAGAACAUUUCCCGAAAACUCAUUAUUUUCUUAGAGGUUAACACAAAGAGUUUGAGAAAAAUUUAAAAUUUUGACAGUACUGUUUUAAUACAUAUUUUAAUCAUGUAAUAUCAUAUGAUGAAGUUCAAACAGGUUUGGAACCUUUGUUGUCUCCGUUUCUCUAGGGAAUAACAAUUUUAUAGUGGUUAGUCCAAUGAUUUAGGGAGUAUUUGCAGUUUUGCUAAAUUUAUUGAUAAAAAAUUAGAAUGAUGUCCAUGUACCAUGAAAGGAGUUUAUCAUAAAUUAAUACAAAUGUAACCCUACGAAAAUAUUGAGUUUUUGGUAAAUGUUUUAUAUACUUAAUUCUAUUAUCUUUAGUGUUUUUUUAAAAAAUUUCUAACCAUAUCAUACAUUUGUAUUAAUGUAUGGUAAACUCUUUUGCAUGGUAAAUGAGCAUCGUUCAAUUGUUUUUACAAAUUAAUUUAGCGAAAUUUCAUAAUACUCCCUAAAUCGGUGGAAUAACCACUAUUAAAUCGCUAUUCUCUUGAAAAACAGAAACAACAAAGGCUCCAAACCUCUUUGAACAUCAUCAUAUGUUAGAGCAUGGUGCAACUAUGCAUUAAAACAAUAUUUUCAUAUUUUUUGAAAUUUUCUCAAAAUCUAUGUUUUAACCCCUAUGAAAAUGUUGAGUUUUAGGUAAAUGCUUAAUAUAUUGAAGCCUAUAAUCUUUAGUGUUGUUUUAAAAUUUCUAUCCACAUUCUACAUUUUUAUUAAUGUAUUUUAGGCUUUUUCAUGGUAUAUGAGAAUCAUUAUAAUAUUUUUUAUCAAUUCAUUUAGUAAAAGUUCAUAAUACUCCCUAAAUCAAUGGAAUAACCACUAUUAAAUCGUUAUUCUCUUGAAAAAUAGAGACAACAAAUGCUCCAAACCUCUUUGAACAUCAUCAUAUGUUAGUGCAGGAUGCAACUAUGCAUUAAAACAAUAUUGUCAUAUUUUUUGAAUUUUUCUCAAAGUCUAUGUGUUAACCCCUACGAAAAUAUUGAGUUUUUGGUAAAUACUUUAUAUACUGAAUCCUAUAAUCUUUAGUGUUGUUUUAAAUUUUCAAACCACAUUCUACAUUUUUAUUAAUGUAUUUUAAGCUUUUUCAUGGUAUAUGGGAAUCAUUAUAGUAUUUUUUAUCAAUUAAUUUAGUAAAAGUUCAUAAUGCUCCCUAAAUCGGUGGAAUAACCACUAUUAAAUCGCUAUUCUCUAAAAAAAUAGAGACAACAAAGGCUCCAAACCUCUUUGAACAUCAUCAUAUGUUAGAGCAGGAUGCAACUAUGCAUUAAAACAAUAUUGUCAUAUUUUUUGAAAUUUUCUCAAAAUCUAUGUGUUAAUCUAUACGAAAAUGUUGAGUUUUUGGUAAAUGUUUUAUAUACUGAAGCCUAUAAUCUUUAGUGUUGUUUUAAAAUUUAUAUCCACAUUCUACAUUUGUAUUAAUGUAUUUUAAGCUUUUUCAUGGUAUAUGGGAAUCAUUAUAAUAUUUUUUGUCAAUUAAUUUAGUAAAAGUUCAUAAUGCUCUCUAAAUGAAUGUAAUAACCACUAUUUAAUUGCUACUCUCUUGAAAAAUAGAGACAACAAAGGCUCCAAACCUCUUUGAACAUCAUCAUAUGUUAGAGAAUGAUACAACUAUGCAUUAAAACAAUAUUAUCAUAUUUUUAAAAAAUUUCUCAAAAUCUAUAUGUUAACCCCUACGAAAAUGUUGAGUUAAUGGUAAAUGUUUUAUAUACUGAAGCCUAUAAUCUUUAGUGAUGUUUUAAAAUUUCUAGCCACAUUCUACAUUUGUAUUAAUGUAUUUUAAGCUUUUUCAUGGUAUAUGAGAAUCAUUAUAAUAUGUUUUAUCAAUUAAUUUAGUAAAAGAUUAUAAUACUCUUUAAAUCGGUGGAAUAACCACUAUUAAAUCGCUAUUCUCUUGAAAAACAGAGACAACAAAGGCUCCAAACCUCUUUGAACAUCAUCAUAUGUUAGAGAAGGAUGCAACUAUGCAUUAAAACAAUUUUAUCAUAUUUUUUGAAUUUUUCUCAAAAUCAUAUUAAAACAACCCUACGAAAAUGUUGAGUUAAUGGUAAAUGUUUUAUAUACUGAAGCCUAUAAUCUUUAAUGUUGUUUUAAAAUUUCUAGCCACAUUCUACAUUUGUAUUAAUAUAUUUUAAACUUUUUCAUGGUAUAUGAGAAUCAUUAUAAUACUUUUUAUCAAUUAAUUUAGUAAAAGUUCAUAAUACACCCUAAAUCGAUGGAAUAACCACAAUAAAAUCACUAUUUUUUCUUGAAUAACGGAGACAACAAAGGCUCCAAACUUCUUUGAACAUCAUCAUAUGUUAGUGCAAGAUGCAACUAUGUAUUAAUACAAUAUUGUUAUAUUUUUAAAUUUUCUCAAAAUCUAUAUGUUAACCAACCCCUACGAAAAUAUUGAGUUUUGGUAAAUGUUUAGUGUUGUUUUAAAUUUUCUAACCACAUCCUACAAUUGUAUUAAUGUAUUUUAAUUUCUUUUUCAUGGUAUAUGGGAUGGCUAAUACUUAUUAGCGAACCAAUUACUAAAUUCCCUGUUUAUCAGCAUCCUUGAGUUCUUGACCGGCGAUGGCUAAUACUUAUUAGCCAACCAAUUACUUGGUUGAUGUUUCCCCGGACCCAACGUUGACCCAAUAUUCGAAAAAUCUAUAUAAAUUAAAUUGUGUCGAAUAAAUUUUUAGCUUUGCUUGGUGAAGUAGGAUUGAUGUAUAUCGUGUGGAUUGAAUUGGGAUCUUUGUUUUAUAGUGGUUCGUGUUUUUUUGUAGAACCAUAUUGAAUUACAAUAAACAGAUUGCAACACUCUUGUUAUUGGUAUUUCUUACAGAUUGGUUUGGAUUCUGCUCUUUUUUUUUGUUAAAAAGUUUGUAAAGACAUGAAACCAAGUAGCAUUUAAAUCAAUCUAUAUGACAUAACAAAAAUUGAACUUAUGGGAGCGAGAAGCAUGAGAAUGACCCGUUCGUUGAUCGUAGGUUUCGCAGGAGCCUCCCGGGCUAGUCUGAAAAUAAUGAGUCAUGACUCAUGAGGAAUUAAGCCCCAAAGCUCCUACUAGAUUUGUACCAUUCGUGUUGCAGUUCUGUCUCUAAUCUUAUCUGGCUUAAUUGUGUCAAAGCAAUGUCUAGAUUUUGCGUAAGAUUUAUUGUUUGCUAUUGGCUAUGAUUACAAAAGUAUCCGCGCUUCUGAGAUAUAAUUCAAUGAAGUAUAAAUGGAAAACAAUGGUUGAAUUUCUUAAUAUGAGCCACCUCUUCGCUAUUUGAUUUGUUUUAUUGUUUUGCAUUUGGCAGUGAUGAUUAACAUUAACAGCUUUACGCCAGUUCUGCUUCAGAAAAUUCUUGAUUGAAGAAGCUGUAUAAAAUCUGAACCCCUUUAAAAAAAUAAUUCUUGAAGAUGUUUGUUUUGAUGCCGAUGAGGAAAUCCAAUUUAAGCGAGGCGCAGUGGAGCAGAAACUGCAAUCUCUUUUUAAUAUUUUUUAAAUUGAUUGUUCGAUUCAUAAUCUGAGUUUAACUAUACACCAGCAUUAGCCAAUGUGCUUUGUAGUCUGAAUAACUCAGAAAUUGAUAGUGUUUACAUCAAUUUUGUCUCUGCUUUCGGCCUUGAGAUUUUAGUUAAACUAGAACACCAAAUUAACAAUCAACAAUACAGAUUAGCCAACCCAUUAUCCCUUUCUUGGAUGAAGUUUCUUGGCCCACUAUUUUUCCGUUGUAGUUUAUUUAUUUAUUUAAAUUAAUACACAAAAUAACUUAAAUUGUGUAAGAAUAAAAUUUUACUUUUGCUUGAUGAGCUAGUAGGAUGAUACAGUAUGGCUUGAAAUGGGAUUACUUGUGUUACUAAAGACAAUUCGUAUUAUUUUGUUGAACGAUACAUUAGUGUUAAACAGAUAUGAAAAGAAACCAUCUACAAACAAUAUGAACAUAAACAAUAUAAAUAACAUGGUCGCAGUUUCAGCUACUCAUGAUUAAUCCAAUAGAAACAACUUAUAUAAAAUUAUCACAAAUCACAUUAGAAACAAACAGGUCUACAAUUUUUACAAUGUGCUCUCGCAAACCUAGACACUAUAAAACAGCUCCAGUUACAGAUAAUGUGAUAUUUCCUUCUAGAAUGCGAGAGAAAAAGGUUAACACAAAUAACCAAAAAAAAUAUAUAAACAAACAAAUCAUAGAUCAUCAGCUCAUUGAGCUAAAAUCUGACCCUUCUUCAUCAUUUGCCUAAACUCCUUGUAAUUAACCCUACCAUCACCAUCAACAUCCACUUGUAUUAUCAUCUUCCUACACUCCUCCAAGGUCUUACCUUGCUUGAGGCCCAAGGAAGACAACACCGUUUUCAACUCAUCCACCGUAAUAAACCCAUCUCCAUUCUGAUCAAAAACGUUGAACGCUUCCUUCAUAUCUUCAUCUCCUAUCUCAUCCUCGCCUUGGACCAUUAUCGACUUGUAAAGCUCUCCAAACUCUUCGACGUCAACGCAACCAUCUCCGUUCACAUCGAUCUUCUCGAUCAUCUGCGACAGCUCGUUUUCAGGGAUUAUGAUGCCGAGGUUUUUGAAUGACUCGUUUAGCUCCUUCUGUGUGAUCCGACCGUCUCCGUCCUUGUCGAACAUUUGGAACACACGUUUUAGCUCCGUGGAGUCCAUUUUUUAGGGUUAGGUUUAGAUUAGAGGUUGCGUGUGGAUGAAGAAAUGGUGAAAACAGAGGAUGGUGAGACUCCGAGAAGCCGAGAAAGCAGUUCUUUCUUGGCUCCUUGGAGACCCGAUGAGGGUAGGUUCAGAAACUAAGGAAAUGUUAAAAGAAAUAUG
rnacentral:lncRNA from 1 species